AGGCAGAAACUGUGGAAGAAUGAUGUUUGCUGGCUGGCUUUGGAGUUAUGCAUAGAUAUUUUUCCUUUUACAGCUCAGGUUCGCAUGCCUAGGGAUGGUGCUGCCUACAGUGGACUGGGCCUUUCUACAUCAAUUAACAAUCAGGAAAAUGCCCCACAGAUAUGGACGAAGGCCUAUCUGACCCAGGUUUUGGAAGAUUGUAGGAUAUUGGGUAAUGUAUCCUUGGAACUUCUCUGGACUAUCUUUGCAAAGUUCUGUGGCUCUCCAAAGACCUGCAAAUAAACAUCUAAAGGAGAAAUCUGUACCUCUCACCCUGCCCAUGGGAGGACCAUAAGCCCAUCUUAUUAUUUUAACUCCUCCUCCUACCGAGGAUUAUUUGCUUCUCCUCAAGCUUCCAGACAAUAUCACGUGACAGCUGGAUUAUAGCUAUAUUAUAUUCCUUGAAGAAAAUACUGUCCUGUGAAGCAACAAUGGUCCCAUUUCAAGCAAGGACCGUGAAGAUGGAAAUUGGAUUCCAAACCCACCAGGUAACCAUAAUGCAGGGGGUCAGAGAAGCAGCCAUCCUCCGGCCACAUCUGUGCUGAGUGAUAGUCUUUCUGAAUGAGAAGAAAUAGAGGCUAAUUAUCCCCAGGGUUUGACAGGUCUUUCUCAACACUUCUGCAUAAAAGAGCAAGGCCACCCAGCUGGCCCCUCAAUUGAAGGCUGCAAGAAUCUGGUGGCGCUGGUACUCAAACAAAUGAGAGAGCACAUCAAAGGGGAGCCCUACAAAGGCCCAAGGGGGGAGCUGGAGGGGACCCGAUGGUGACUGCAGUGUCUUCAGCUGGAAAAGCAAAUUGAAGAGCGGCCAUUGAAAAGGGGACAAUGCGUGGCCACAUGGGAAGAGAGGAAACAAGAGACCUUCUUGUGCAUCCAUUCCUCCCCUAACAAGAGUAGGUGCAGGACGGAUAAGUGCUGUGAAGAGGGAUCUAUUGCUAUGUAUAUGGGGCCAGCUCAAGUGAAAGCAUGAGAGGGUUGAAACUGGGCAUCCCUCUUGUCAUCUCGCUUGGGUUUAAUGUCUUAGACCCCUGCAGUGACCCAACAGUACUGUUGACAGGUUCAGCCCAUGUUCAAGCAGAUUCUUGGACAGGUACCUAUUUGCCUGGGGAGUGUGACACAGAAGAGGGACUGUGAGGCCAUUCCUUAGAUUCCUUACAGGUGAGCUUGCACUCUCGAGAGAGACACCUAGCUAUGGACCUAAAAUUUCCAACUAACUGUAGGAAGGACCUGCCAGGGCACAAGACUUAAGACCGCCUAUGUGGGUGCUGCUAAAGUUAAGCUCACAGGGGUCAAGGUGUGUUGGGGGCUGGGUAGGAAGGGAAUAUAAAAUCUUCAUAGUUCUGUGGCAGCCAGUGGGAAGGGGAGCUGGAGGAUUUCAGGCAGGGGAGUAUGGAAUUUUAAUCAAAUGCACAGAGAGCUGGGGAAGAAAUAUGGGAAGCAAAUCCAGAUAGGGUAGUGGAAGAGGGCUGAGAAAACACAAGCUUGCACACUGACUUGUCCUCGUGCACACACCUGCACCCCACUGGCCCAUUCACACUCACACGUGGGGAAUCACCUCUACACUCACAUACAUGUGACUGGCCAGGGCAGAGUCUAUGAAGAAAGGGAGAGAGAUGGCUCUGUGUGGUGCAUGCUAGGCAAUUUGCCUCAGGGCACAAUUAGGUUACCUAUGAUACCUCUUCCAGGAUGGCUUCACAGGGGCACAACACCUCAAUGUUGAGGAUGCAGGGAGGUCUCGACUCAGGUCAUACUUUCCUUUACAUUGUCUGUUAGCUCUUCUCUCUCCUCUAGCUCACUCAGAGUAUAAGGCUCAAGAGUGAGAGAGGAUGUGUGCAGUCAAUGCACCCUCUCAGUGCAGUUCUUAAGUGGUGCAGACAAUGCUAGCUUGGGCCAUCUGAAGCAUAAAAUUCAUUUAGUUCACUCUACCAGGAUGAAAAAUGUUCCAAGGGGAAAGUUAUUAUUAUAAGCCUAAUUAUUCAGAGAGUUUUGAGUUUACUGAGACAUUCAAACCCUGGCAUUCUCUAUCUCAUAGAGAUAAUUAUGUUGCCUUCAAACUGCCACUGUGGGUUAGCAAACCUUCUGUAUGGACACUGUUUUCAUAGGAAAGAUUUUUUUCUUGGCAAAUGGGAUAUUUUUUCCUUUAAAUAAUGAAACACUUAGAAAAUCGGCUUUAUUCAGUGAGUCAGUGUUUACUAAGCAACCUUACAUAGUCACAGUUGAAAUUCAGGGGCCGCUGGAUAUGUAUCACAGAGCAUAGUGAACUCCCUGAUAAGGUUUUUAACAAUACUUUUAUGUGUCUGAGUGUUUUGCAUGCAUGUAUGUCUAUGUGCUACAUGUGUGCCUGGUACCCUCAGAAGUCAAAAGAAGGUACUGGGCCCCUAGAGUUGGAGUUACAGGUCAUAUAAACUGUGUUGUGGGUGUGAGAACCAAACCCAAGUCCUUUGCAAGAGCAGAAAGUGCUCUUAAGAAUAUAGCCAGUGGGGGUUGGGGAUUUAGCUCAGUGGUAGAGUGCUUGCCUAGCAAGUGCCAGGCCCUGGGUUCGGUCCCCAGCUCCGGAAAAAAAAGAAAAGAAAAAAAAAAAAAGAAUAUAACCACUGGGCUGGAGAGAUGGCUCAAUGGUUAAGAGUGCUGACUGCUCUUCCAGAGGUCCUGAGUUCAAAUCCCAGCAACCGUAUGGUGGCUCACAACCAUCUGUAAUGGGAUCUGACCCCCUCUUCUGGUGUGUCUGAAGAUAGCUAUAGUGUACUCAUAUACAUAAAAUAAAUAAAUCUUUAAAAAAAAAA